rnacentral:sRNA from 1 species
AUAUAAAAAUUAGCUGGGCAUGCUGGCACAUGCCUGUAGUCCGAGCUCCUCGGACACUGAGGCUCAAGAAUCACUUGAACCUUGGAGGCGGAGAUUGCUGUGAACUGAAGUCAUGCUACUGUACUCCAGCCUGGGUGACAGAGGGAGACUCUAUCCACCCCCCUCCCCCCCAAAAAAAAAGCUAAGAAAUGGAUUUUAUUGCUCAGUGUCAACAGUUUUGUGUGUGUAUUCAUCUUAAGUACAAAACAGAUAUUAAUCAUGCCACAACUCAGGUAUACAAAAGAAUAUAACUUUAAAAAGUUAGUAAUUAAACUUAAUAUCUAUUUUAAGCCCCUAUUUAUUCUACUGGAUUAUAGACACCAAAUUUCACCUAAUUCAAGGUUUCUUUAUUCCCUUUUCUCUGGGAUUAUAUAUAAUGUAGAGGGGACUAAUGGUAUGCCAGUACUGGUGAUAUGGGGUGACGUGAUUCUCAUCUGUCUGUGCUACAAUCUGCUGAGGUGUUUUCAUUUGCAUCUGGUCUUUGUCAGAUUUGUGCAAGUUCCUGCUACAACUUUUGACCCUGUUCAGGCCACUGGCUCUCUUGUUUCCUGUCCAUGCUGCACUGAGCGCUUUGGAAUACCAUUAUGUAUCUCAAGCUGUCUUGGGUGUCGGAGAAGAGCUUUGUGGGACUGAAGACCCAUUUCUGCUUAAACAUAAUCAUGCAGACAUUCUGAUUGCUUCAUUGUAAUACCUUGUACAGAAGGAACUCUGUGAAGGUCUGCCUCUUCAGACAAUCAGGGUUUAGGGCAAAAGGUCUCUUCUGCUGUUUGAUUUUCAAACCUGCCUUGGAGUUCCUGUUGUUCUUCCUGCUAGGGAGGAUUCAACUUGCAUGAAACAGAAUGCAGGGUGCUUUUUUAGGGAUCCCAUUAAUCCUGAGCGCUGUUAGCUUUCAUUCUGGCUUUUCUUUUCCCUAAUGCAUCCUAUUGAGACUUUGUCUAGUGUAGGAUGUAAAAAAGCCUGAUGCAUGUAGUAUUCCAAAUCUUUAGUCUUGAAUACUAAUUUCAGCUUUUAAAACUCGGUACCAGCACUCAGAAAUUUUCUGUUUUGCUGGGCAUGCCAUCUGUGAUACGAUGAGUAUUCCUGACUAAAUGGGAGGGUAGUACCUUGAUUUCUCAAAGUAUUUUCCCAUCACAGAUACAAGUACAUAGGAAAAUAUAAUUCCUUAUUUGGUUUUCCUUUUUAAUACAGAGGGUUUAUAAUAUAGUGUGUUUAAUAACCUUUAAUACUGGAUUAUAAAUUUUUUGACAGCAAGUACUAAGUCUUACUUGUUUCUAUAUUCAUCAAAGUGAUCAACUAGAGGGUGCCCAGUGACUUGGUUUAUUGUGACAUUAACAAUACAAGGUUAAACUUGCUAUGAUCAGGUAAAUAGGGUAGUUUAUUAAGGCUGGCUGGUCCAGCUUCCCUGGUCAACUAACACUGGCCUGAAAAAUAAAAUAAUUUGUGGUUGUCAGAUACUAAAUUAAAUGAUCUGAGUACUACUGCAACUUAUUAAAGGACUUUUAUUCCAUUUCUAGAAGAAAGAAAACACUGGAUUACCAAAGGCUUUUCUGGUCUCCCCUUCUAUUCUUUAGGUCUUCCCAAAAGUUAUCUCCUGGGAAAAUGCCAAUACCUGAUCACGACUCUGGUGUUGAAGAUGAAGAUUUUUCUCCAAGACCAAUUCCUAGUCCUCAUCCAGUGAGUCAGAAGAUUUCUAAGAUCCAACCAUCAGUUCCUGAACUUUCGCUUGUGUUGGAUGGCAAUUUCAUAGAAUCAAACCCUCUGCCUACUCCAUUGGAAAUGGUGAAUAAUGAAAAUCCUCCUUUGAUUAACCACUCGGAACACUUGAAGCCAUUGCAACCCCAGCUUUAUGAUGAGAAACGCAGUCCAGAAGUUGAAGCUGGAGAGCCUUCCUUGAGAGGAACACCAAAUCAGUUAAACCAGGAUAAACCAGCUCUUUUGAGACACUGCAAAGUAAGACAGCCACCUGCCUGUAAGAAAGGGAACCCCCAUACCAGGAACAGUGUAAAACCAUCUUCUCAUAAUGGGCCAUCUCAUGAUAUAUUUGAAAAGCUCCAAACAGUUUCUGCUGGAAAUGUACAAAACGAAGAGUAUCCUAUAAGACCCUCCACACUUAAUUCUAGGCAGUCUUCUCUUGCCCCGCAGUCCCAACCACACAAUUUUGUUUUUUCACCCCAUAAUUCAGGAAGACCAAUGGAACUUCAGAUACCUACUCCCCCACCACCAUCUUACUGUUCCACAAAGGUUUGCAGGUGUUGUCAGCAUCAUAGUCAUAUUCAAUAUAGUCCACUAUAUUCUUGGCAAGGAGCAAACACAGUUGGAUCCAUUCAAGACGUCCAGUCUGAAGCCCUUCAAAAGCAUUCAUUAUUUCACCCAAGUGGAUGUCCAGCCCUGUACUGUAAUGCAUUCUGUUCUUCAAGUAGUCCUGUAGCCUUGAGACCUCAGGGAGGUAUGGACAGUUGUUCUCCCCACAGCAAUAUUGAACCAUCGCCUGUGGCAAGACCGCCUUCACAUAUGGACUCAUGUAACCCACAGCCUUGCACAGUGUGCAUGCACACACCCAAGACUGAGUCAGAUAAUGGAAUGAUGGGACUAUCUCCAGAUGCAUAUCGAUUCCUCACAGAACAAGACAGACAGCUAAGAUUACUUCAGGCACAGAUUCAGCGUUUGUUGGAAGCACAGUCUCUGACGCCCUGUUCCCCUAAGACAACCACUGUUGAAGAUACAGUGCAAGCUGGAAGACAAAUGGAGUUGAUUUCCGUGGAAGCACAGUCUUCCCCUGGCUUGCACAUGAGAAAAAGUGUAAGCAUUGCUGUGAGCACAGGUGCUAGCUUGUUUUGGAAUGCAGCAGGUGAGGAUCAAGAGCCUGACUCUCAACUGAAGCAAGAUGAUACCAAAAUUUCCAGUGAGGACAUGAAUUUUUCUGUUGAUAUUAAUAAUGAAGUCACAAGUCUUCCAGGUAGUGCAUCUUCAUUAAAAGCAGUCGAUAUUCCCAGUUUUGAAGAGAGCAACAUUGCUGUGGAAGAAGAAUUUAACCAGCCACUUUCUGUAUCCAACUCUUCUCUAGUUGUGAGAAAAGAACCUGAUGCACCUGUGUUCUUUCCAAAUGGCCAGCUGGCAGAAAGUGUAAGCAUGUGUUUACAGACUGGACCAACAGGGGGUGCCAGUAACAAUUCUGAAACAUCAGGGGAACCAAAAAUUGAGCAAGUAAUGCAACCCUUGCUUCAUCAACCAUCAGCUAACCAGAAAAUUUACCAGGAUUUAUUGGGUCAAGUAAACCACCUAUUAAAUAGUUCCUCCAAGGAAACUGAGCAGCCGUCUACCAAAGCAGUAAUUAUCAGUCAUGAAUGCACCAGAACCCAAAAUGUUUACCAUAC